UACGGAGGGGGCGAGCGUUAUUCGGAAUUAUUGGGCGUAAAGGGCGCGUAGGCGGCUUGUUAAGUCAAAGGUGAAAUCCCUCGGCUCAACUGAGGAACUGCCUUUGAAACUAGCGAGCUUGAGGCCGGGAGGGGGUAGCGGAAUUCCCAGUGUAGCGGUGAAAUGCAUAGAUACCAUCCAGAACACCGAUUGCGAAGGCAGCCGGCUAAACUGUAACUGACGCUGAGGCACGAAAGCGUGGGGAUCGAACAGG
rnacentral:rRNA from 1 species